rnacentral:tRNA from 1 species
UGAGGGAUCGUUCAGCGGCAGGACGGCGGGUUCUGGCCCCGCAAACCCAGGUUCGAUUCCUGGUCCCUCAGCCA